rnacentral:rRNA from 1 species
GACGAACGCUGGCGGCGUGCUUAACACAUGCAAGUCGAACGGUCAACGAGGGAUCUUGCCCCCUCCGGGUUAGUGGCGACCGGGUGAGUAACACGUGAGCUAUCUGCCACUCACUCUGAGAUAAGCUAUUGAAACGUCCUCUAAUACCGGAUAAGACGCACGACCGCAUCCUCUCCGCGCGGCUGGAACUCCGGUUCGUGGUGGGCCCGCGUCCUAUGAGCUCGAUGGUGAGGUAACGGCACACCAAGGCGACGCGCGGUAGCCGGCCUGCGAGGGGAACCGGCCACGCUGGGACUGAGACACGACCCGGACUCCUACGGGAGGCAGCAGUGGGGAAUGGUGCACAAUGGGCGCAAGCCUGAUGCAGCAACGCCGCGUGAGGGAAGACGGCCUUCGGGUUGGAAACCACAUUUAGCUGGGAAGAAGCGAAAGUGACGGUACCUGCAGAAAAAGCACCGGCUAACUACGUG